rnacentral:rRNA from 1 species
CCUACGGGAGGCUGCAGUGGGGAAUAUUGGACAAUGGGCGAAAGCCUGAUCCAGCCAUGCCGUGUGUGUGAAGAAGGCCUUCGGGUUGUAAAGCACUUUCAGUGGGGAAGAAAGCCUUGGGGCUAAUACCCUCGAGGAAGGACAUCACCCACAGAAGAAGCACCGGCUAACUCCGUGCCAGCAGCCGCGGUAAUACGGAGGGUGCGAGCGUUAAUCGGAAUUACUGGGCGUAAAGCGCGCGUAGGCGGUCUGAUAAGCCGGUUGUGAAAGCCCCGGGCUCAACCUGGGAACGGCAUCCGGAACUGUCAGGCUAGAGUGCAGGAGAGGAAGGUAGAAUUCCCGGUGUAGCGGUGAAAUGCGUAGAGAUCGGGAGGAAUACCAGUGGCGAAGGCGGCCUUCUGGACUGACACUGACGCUGAGGUGCGAAAGCGUGGGUAGCAAACAGGAUUAGAUACCCUAGUAGUC